rnacentral:rRNA from 1 species
AAUAGAUACCCUGUAGUCCACGCCGUAAACGAUGAGUGCUAAGUGUUAGAGGGUUUCCGCCCUUUAGUGCUGCAGCUAACGCAUUAAGCACUCCGCCUGGGGAGUACGGCCGCAAGGCUGAAACUCAAAGGAAUUGACGGGGGCCCGCACAAGCGGUGGAGCAUGUGGUUUAAUUCGAAGCAACGCGAAGAACCUUACCAGGUCUUGACAUCCUCUGACAACCCUAGAGAUAGGGCUUUCCCCUUCGGGGGACAGAGUGACAGGUGGUGCAUGGUUGUCGUCAGCUCGUGUCGUGAGAUGUUGGGUUAAGUCCCGCAACGAGCGCAACCCUUGAUCUUAGUUGCCAGCAUUCAGUUGGGCACUCUAAGGUGACUGCCGGUGACAAACCGGAGGAAGGUGGGGAUGACGUCAAAUCAUCAUGCCCCUUAUGACCUGGGCUACACACGUGCUACAAUGGAUGGUACAAAGGGCUGCAAACCCGCGAAGGUAAGCGAAUCCCAUAAAGCCAUUCUCAGUUCGGAUUGCAGG